rnacentral:rRNA from 1 species
AGAGUUUGAUCAUGGCUCAGGACUAACGCUGGCGGCGUGCCUAACACAUGCAAGUCGAACGAAGUAGCAAUACUUAGUGGCAGACGGGUGAGUAACACGUAGUCAACCUACCUCAGCGUGGGGGAUAACUAGCCGAAAGGUUAGCUAAUACCGCAUACGAUCUUCGAGUGGCAUCACAUGAAGAUGAAAGGAGCAAUCCG